AUUGAACGCUGGCGGCAUGCUUUACACAUGCAAGUCGAACGGUAACAGGCCUUCGGGUGCUGCCGAGUGGCGAACGGGUGAGUAAUGCAUCGGAACGUGCCCAGAGGUGGGGGAUAACGCAGCGAAAGCUGUGCUAAUACCGCAUGUGAUCUGAGGAUGAAAGCGGGGGACCAGGCAGCAAUGUUUGGCCUCGCGCCUUUGGAGCGGCCGAUGUCAGAUUAGGUAGUUGGUGGGGUAAAUGCCUACCAAGCCGACGAUCUGUAGCUGGUCUGAGAGGACGACCAGCCACACUGGGACUGAGACACGGCCCAGACUCCUACGGGAGGCAGCAGUGGGGAAUUUUGGACAAUGGGCGCAAGCCUGAUCCAGCAAUGCCGCGUGCGGGAAGAAGGCCUUCGGGUUGUAAACCGCUUUUGUACGGAACGAAAAGGCUCUGGCUAAUACCUGGGGCUGAUGACGGUACCGUAAGAAUAAGCACCGGCUAACUACGUG
rnacentral:rRNA from 1 species